CCUACGGGAGGCAGCAGUGAGGAAUAUUGGUCAAUGGGCGAGAGCCUGAACCAGCCAAGUCGCGUGAAGGAUGACGGCCCUACGGGUUGUAAACUUCUUUUGUCAGGGAGCAAUUGAUUCCACGUGUGGUCUUAGCGAGAGCACCUGAAGAAAAAGCAGCGGCGAACUCCGUGCCAGCAGCCGCGGUAAUACGGAGGAUGCGAGCGUUAUCCGGAUUUAUUGGGUUGAAAGGGGGCGUAGGCGGAAUAUCAAGUCAGCGGUAAAAAUUCGGGGCUCAACCCCGUCGUGCCGUUGAAACUGGUGUUCUUGAGUGGGCGAGAGGUAUGCGGAAUGCGUGGUGUAGCGGUGAAAUGCAUAGAUAUCACGCAGAACUCCGAUUGCGAAGGCAGCAUACCGGCGCCCAACUGACGCUGAAGCACGAAAGCGUGGGUAUCGAACAGGAUUAGAUACCCCUGUAGUC
rnacentral:rRNA from 1 species